AAGGAUCAUUAUCGUAGGGCUUCGGCCCUGUCGAGAUAGAACCCUUGCCUUUUUGAGUACCUUUCGUUUCCUCGGCAGGCUCGCCUGCCAAUGGGGACCACAAAAAAACACUUUGCAGUACCUGUAAUAGUCUGAACAAACAAACAAAAAUCAAAACUUUCAACAACGGAUCUCUUGGUUCUG
rnacentral:misc_RNA from 1 species